GAUGAACGCUGGCGGCGUGCCUAAUACAUGCAAGUCGAGCGAACGGACGAGAAGCUUGCUUCUCUGAUGUUAGCGGCGGACGGGUGAGUAACACGUGGAUAACCUACCUAUAAGACUGGGAUAACUUCGGGAAACCGUAGCUAAUACCGGAUAAUAUUUUGAACCGCAUGGUUCAAAAGUGAAAGACGGUCUUGCUGUCACUUAUAGAUGGAUCCGCGCUGCAUUAGCUAGUUGGUAAGGUAACGGCUUACCAAGGCAACGAUGCAUAGCCGACCUGAGAGGGGAAUCGGCCACACUGGAACGUAAACACGCUCCAGACGCCUACGGGAGGCAGCAGUAGGGAAUCUUCCGCAGUGGGCGAAAGCCUGACGGAGCAACGCCGCGUGAGUGAUGAAGGUCUUCGGAUCGUAAAACUCUGUUAUUAGGGAAGAACAUAUGUGUAAGUAACUGUGCACAUCUUGACGGUACCUAAUCAGAAAGCCACGGCUAACUACGUG
rnacentral:rRNA from 1 species